GAUGAAGAACGCAGCAAAAUGCGAUAAGUAAUGUGAAUUGCAGAAUUCAGUGAAUCAUCGAAUCUUUGAACGCACAUUGCGCCCGCUGGUAUUCCGGCGGGCAUGCCUGUUCGAGCGUCAUUUCAACCCUCAAGCCCCCGGGUUUGGUGUUGGGGAUCGGCUCUGCCCUUCUGGGCGGUGCCGCCCCCGAAAUACAUUGGCGGUCUCGCUGCAGCCUCCAUUGCGUAGUAGCUAACACCUUGCAACUGGAACGCGGCGCGGCCAUGCCGUAAAACCCCAACUUCUGAAUGUUGACCUCGGAUCAGGUAGGAAUACCCGCUGAACUUAAGCAUAUCAAUAAGCGGAGGA
rnacentral:misc_RNA from 1 species